rnacentral:rRNA from 1 species
GUGCCAGCAGCCGCGGUAAGACGGAGGGUGCAAGCGUUGUCCGGAAUCACUGGGUGUAAAGGGUGUGUAGGCGGGGCGGUAAGUCAGAGGUGAAAGCCCACAGCUUAACUGUGGAACUGCCUUUGAUACUGCCGUUCUUGAGUCCCGGAGGGGUCACUGGAAUUCGUGGUGUAGCGGUGAAAUGCGUAGAUAUCACGAGGAACACCAGAGGUGUAGACGGGUGACUGGACGGUGACUGACGCUGAGGCACGAAAGCGUGGGGAGCAAACAGGAUUAGAAACCCCUGUAGUCC